CAUAAAUAAAUAGAAUGUCACAGGUACAGCUGAGGCCUGAAUGACCUUCUUCCCUCCCUUGCAGUAAUGGCUAUCCUCCAUUUGGGGUGUAUGAUUUCCAUACAUGUUUUAUGUAAGUACACGUGUAUAGACCCACAAAUGACACGCAGUGUUAUUCUGUAUGUGUCUAUAUUUCAUGUAAGUGGUGGCUUACUGUACACUGUCUUCUUUGGUGGUCUAACAACUUCUUUGUUCCAGUCCCCUACUGAUGAACAUCUGGGCUGCUUCUGAUACUUUUCUAUCACAAACUAUGAAGAAAUAAACGUUCCUGUCACUGUCCGCACGUGCCCACCAGCUGAGCGGUACGAGUACUGACGUGUGUACUGUUUUCAGGAUCAUCCUGUUCGCAGCACGACUCGUGUAUCCAGGUGGACCCUGGAGAAUGGACUAAAGGCUGAAGGUGAUAUAAAAUUGGAAAACUGCUCAAUGAGACACAUUUACAUGGUGCCCCCCAGUUCAGAAAGACCUGAAACAAACACACACAGAAC